CACCCGAUAGCACAUGGUGUGCCCUUGCUCACGGUUAGCGAGUGUGUAUGUAAGAUUGGGAGGCAGGAGGUCCUCGUUCGAUUCGAGGUCGGGUGA